rnacentral:rRNA from 1 species
CCUACGGGUGGCAGCAGUGGGGAAUAUUGGACAAUGGGGGCAACCCUGAUCCAGCCAUGCCGCGUGUGUGAAGAAGGCCCUCGGGUUGUAAAGCACUUUCAGUGAGGAAGAACGCCUGGUGGUUAAUACCCAUCAGGAAAGACAUCACUCACAGAAGAAGCACCGGCUAACUCCGUGCCAGCAGCCGCGGUAAUACGGAGGGUGCGAGCGUUAAUCGGAAUUACUGGGCGUAAAGCGCGCGUAGGUGGCUUGAUAAGCCGGUUGUGAAAGCCCCGGGCUCAACCUGGGAACGGCAUCCGGAACUGUCAAGCUAGAGUGCAGGAGAGGAAGGUAGAAUUCCCGGUGUAGAGGUGAAAUGCGUAGAGAUCGGGAAGAAUACCAGUGGCGAAGGCGGCCUUCUGGACUGACACUGACGCUGAGGUGCGAAAGCGUGGGUAGCAAACAGGAUUAGAUACCCGGGUAGUC